AAUUGACAAAUAGAAAAUAGAACAAGACCCACCCCAUCCCCUUUCUCUCACUCUCUGAAACCCAACCCUAAACCCAGCCACCAUUACCAUCCCUCCUCGCCGAACUCUUCUCAUCGCCGCCGUUUCCUGCAAUGGAAAGAUCCGCCACCGGUCACCAUCCUCCACCGAGCUCCUCGACGGCCAUACUGCCACCUCGCCAUCGUCCUCCUCCGUGGAGCUGCCAGAACUCAGAUUCGGAAGAAUGCUGUUGCGGUUGCCGCACGAGUCGUCCUCCUACAAGACUUACCAGCUCCGCCGAGCGCUGAUGAUGGUGGCGGUUCCUUUGGUACUCGUCACGAUUGUGCUUUACGUGUUGCCUUCCAUUUCCUCCAACGAGUCCAUCGAAGACUACACCCUCACGCACCGCAAGAUUUCGCUCGAUAACAGAGCCUCUAGCUUCUACGCCGUCUUCUUCGAUGCUGCAGCCACAUUCACGUUUUCCACUUCGAUCGCAAUCACAUUGGCAAAGAUCUCGAGCUAUUCGUUCAGCUUUCAUCUCAGGAAAUGCAACCAAACAUGUGGAUUUUCUGCUUUCUUAAAGUUAACUACAAGAUUAUGAGUUUGAUGCUCCAGUGAAGCUCCUAGAGAAAUAUCUAUAUGCUAUGGCACAAUCUGUUGAUGAGCAACUUCUUGUUGUUUCUCAGGUUCUGGUGUCUGACAUCAAUAUUGGAUAUGAGGAGAUAGUUAACACUCAGGUUCUUGCUUUCAAUGGUAAGCCUGUGAAGAAUCUGAAGAGCUUGGCCACCAUGGUUGAGAACUGUGAUGAUGAGUUUCUAAAGUUUGAUCUGGAAUACCAACAGAAAGUUUAAGAAAUAUAAGACUGCUAAGAAGGAGACAAAGGUGGCAAUAAGAAAGUCAAAACAAGAGUGUGUGAGAGUCUUUAUUAGUCUUUGGGUAUGAAGGAUGAGAGAUUUGGAUCAACCAUGUGGAACUCUGUUUCAUUCAUUGUUAGCUGAAGUCUAUGUAGAUGGGCCUGUUGAUGUUUGUGAGUUCCAUAAGAACAACCAAAGUUGUUAGCAUUGUGAUUUUUAACACCAAAGGCCAUUUCAACAUGUGGAUUUUGAUGAAUUCUUUUCUUUGUUACUGGUUUAUGCCUUUCAUGGAAGACACCUCUUUAUAACAAAUGGUGGCCUCAUAUUAUUGUUCCAACCUUUAAAAUUACUGCGGUGGAAUGUCUGCAGAAGAUCCAGAUUGGGAAACAAAUAUCACUAGUAAGGAUGAAGCUUUCAUGGCCACUGUCUACAAGGGAAGCUAUAGUGCACUAUUAUCUGUUUGAGUACUAUCAAGAUAACUUGGUAGUUGUUCUUUUGAAUUCGGUUUCUGACUCAAAAAGCAUCACUGGCUUCAACAGUGACGCAAAUCAGAGGAUGUAUGGACUGACGAAGUGGUUGAGUCAGCUACAAAGGUAGUUGGUUCCUUCUUGUGUGAGAAUGGAAGCUUGUCAUCCACUUGUGGCAUGUCAAAUGACACCAAGUGAAAAUUAAUCAAAGGGACCUUUGGACUCAAUACAUAUGCAAGGCCUGUGGAGACAGGGUGCUAAGAGGAUUACAUGAAUGGGAACAACACAAAAAGGGUCAUGGCCACAGGAAAUGUAUUUCUAAUCUCAAGAGCAAGGCACAAAGUCUUGGUACCUUGGACAAAAUGUUUUAUUACUAUGAAUGCAAAUAGUUUUAUGUAUUGUAAUUUGCAACCUGCUCCAGUUUUGAAA